GAUGAACGCUGGCGGCGUGCCUAAUACAUGCAGGUCGAGCGAACAGACGAGGAGCUUGCUCCUCUGACGUUAGCGGCGGACGGGUGAGUAACACGUGGAUAACCUACCUAUAAGACUGGGAUAACUUCGGGAAACCGGAGCUAAUACCGGAUAAUAUAUUGAACCGCAUGGUUCAAUAGUGAAAGACGGUUUUGCUGUCACUUAUAGAUGGAUCCGCGCCGCAUUAGCUAGUUGGUAAGGUAACGGCUUACCAAGGCAACGAUGCGUAGCCGACCUGAGAGGGUGAUCGGCCACACUGGAACUGAGACACGGUCCAGACUCCUACGGGAGGCAGCAGUAGGGAAUCUUCCGCAAUGGGCGAAAGCCUGACGGAGCAACGCCGCGUGAGUGAUGAAGGUCUUCGGAUCGUAAAACUCUGUUAUUAGGGAAGAACAAAUGUGUAAGUAACUAAGCACGUCUUGACGGUACCUAAUCAGAAAGCCACGGCUAACUACGUG
rnacentral:rRNA from 1 species